AAGAGGAGCUAAUAGCCAUGCUUCAAAACUAUAUCAAGUCAAUGACUGAUGCUAAUACUUUGGAGAUUUUUAGGCAGAAAUUAGCUUUCAUCUUGCAAGAGACGAAAGCACGUGCUCUUUCCAUUCGUAGCAUACCGCUGGGAGAACAAGAGUUAAGGGAUGAAAUUUGGGAAUAUGUCAUGUCAAUUGAUCAUGAUGAGGCUUUAAAGAAAGAAUGGGUGCUAAGCCUCAAGCCUUACCCGAUUGCCUUAUCUCUCAAGAAAAUUCAAGAAACCCAAUGGUCUCGUCGAUCUGCCCCAUGUUGGGCACCAACAGUCCAUGUUUUUACCGCCAGCCUACCUAGAGAUACCCUAAGGUAGGAGACUAUUUGGUGAGAGAUUGCCAGAUCUGGAACUUGAAGGUAAAAGCGAGAACACAAGAUACGGAUUUAGACAGGUUCGGAUCGCCAGAAUAGCAUAAUACCCUGCAUCCUGUUUGGGGUGUUGUA